rnacentral:rRNA from 1 species
UACGUAGGGUGCAAGCGUUGUCCGGAAUUAUUGGGCGUAAAGAGCUCGUAGGCGGUCUGUCACGUCGGACGUGAAAAUCCAGGGCUCAACCCUGGACCUGCGUUCGAUACGGGCAGACUAGAGUUCGGUAGGGGAGACUGGAAUUCCUGGUGUAGCGGUGGAAUGCGCAGAUAUCAGGAAGAACACCCGUGGCUAAGGCGGUUCUCUAGUACGGUACUGACGCUGAGACGCGAAAGCGUGGGGAGCGAACAGG